rnacentral:lncRNA from 1 species
GUUUGUUACUUUUUGUAGUUUUGCUUAAGGUUUUUUUCGUUUUCCUCGUGUGAGAUGUGAAAAGUUUGUUGGGUUAUUCUUUAAUUACUUCGAUCUGCUCCGAAAGCCACAUAUUUUGCUCAAUAUAUUUUUUCCGAUUCCUGUUGUCUUCGACUAUAUUUCUUUUUUUGGCUGUAGUUUGUACUAUAGUUCUAGCAUAUGUUUAGCUGAUUUUUGCUCCGUCCAGCUUGAUGUCGCUAAAAAAAAUUGAUUUUUGCUUGGUCUAGCUCGAUUUGCUCCAGAAGUUUUAGUUCUUGCUUAAUAGAUUUUUUUUUUAUUGGAAACUGUUUAUUUGUGGUGGAUUAAUUUGGAAUUUUAUCUAUUUACUUACACUUACUGAUAUAUUUUAUGGUUUAUUGCAGCUAUCGAAUCAAUUACUUCACAUUAAUUGUGAUUUUUCUUGGUAAGACAGCUAAAUAUGUUGUUUCAUUCUCAUUUUAUAGAAGUUCGCACAUUUUGAGUGAACUGUAUAGUUCAAAAUUUAGCAGUAGUUUAAUAGCUUAUAAUGAAAUGGUUGGGUAUGGUAAAUAAAUAUUUCUUUCACCUAGGAAAUUAGCAACUACGAGUUUGUUUGUACUUUAAUAACCUAUUGGAGGAAUUAUGAUAUUUUUUGAGCAUUUAUCUGGUUUUAUCAAGAUUUAUUCCCAUACAUCUCACAAUAUAUCUCCUUUUUCUUAUAGUUAAUCAUGCAUAUACGUGUAGAGCUAUGGCGAUAAAUGACCUGUCAUAGAUGAUGUUGUAUGGCAUGAUGGAGAAGUUUGGAGGGCUGCUCUUGACACACACAGUUUUGAUGAUGAACCAGGAUGCGGGAAGUUUGCUGACUUUGUUCCUUUAACUAAUUUUAGGUAUUUAAGGCUUUUCUAGCAAUUCAAUUGACUGUCCUAAGUUAUUUAUAUUUGGGGAUCUUAGCUUGCAUCUUGGGGAAUGAGACAGAAUGCUUUUAGUUGGAAAUAAGCGAAAUUUCAAUGUCGUUUGGUUUGUGUUUUAGUUUUCUGUUUGAGGGUCCGUUUUAAUAUUGCUAAAAACGUGUUUGAUUUGUUAUUUUGAAAAAUUAUUUCUCAAAACAGAAAAUAAUAAGGAUGUUUGGUUUGAAAUUUUGAAAAUUGUUUUAUGACAUUUUAUUCUACUACGUUUUGAUUAUUCGGUAAAAAUAGAACAAUUUUAUGUUAAUAUAUUAUCAAGUAGCAUAUACAUUUUAAAAUUAGUGAAUCUUACAAUAUUUUCUUUUCACUAAAAAAGUAAAAUAAAAAUAAAUAAUAAAUUGAGUUCAAAAUAUAUGAAAUAAAAAAUAAAAAUUAAUGAAAUGGACUAAGAAUAUUUUUAUCUGCAUUUAUUUAAAUAUAUUUUUAGAUUUUUUAUGUUAAAUUUAUUAAGAGCUUGAACUAUUUUUAUUUUUAUUUUAUUUUUUGUAAUUUUUGGUUUUCUGGAAAUUUUUUUAAUUUAAAUUUUUCAGAAUUAUAUUUUUAUUUCAAAUUUAUAUCUUCUUGGAAUGUACAUCAAUUUUAAAUAUAGACUUAUCUUUUUUCCGUAAGUAUCCACCUUCGGUGGUUAAAAGGAAAACAUAUUUAUGAUUUUUUUUUUUUCCUUUUUCGUAGUAUUUUUUUUACAAGAGUUUGGACUAUGUGAAGUUUAAUAAAUUAAUAAACCAGGGAAAAGUUUAUAUUCAUGUCAGAAUUAACCAUUGAAUCUGUGUUCAUCUUGGGAUCCGUUUUCUAUGAACAUAUUAAUUUAGUUAUAUCAGAUUUGUAUUUUUGAAUGCUUUUACUUGUAUCAUAGAGUAUAACGGUUGGUAGAAUUCGCAUUUCAAUCGACCACAUCACAUGUCCUCUUGAGAUGUUUUACAGAAUCUUCAUUGAUGCUCCUAGUGUCUUAAAUAAUUAAUGUCGCGGUUAUUGCGUGUACAAGUUCUGUCAUAUUAACUUAUAGACUGUUCAAUAUUUAAUUUGUGAUGGUAUUAUUAUUUUUCAAUUAACCCCAGUUACUGUUAUAAUAAUUCCAGGGGUCAAUUGCACGCCUCACUGAUGAACCUUAUGGAUAAAUUAUUGUUUGCAUUCUAUGCAGAUAGUAGAUCCAGCCAGGUAAAGUUUUUUCACCAUUUUUACUUUGUUCAGCAUUUCUUGCUAUUUAUUUUCAUCUUGCAUAAGCAAACAUUGGAAUACAGUUCUUUGUCACGUGUGUUUUCAUUGUAUGCAAUAUCAUUAAGAUUAGAACAAUAGGGAAUGACGUAUAUUAUCAUAUGAAAAAAAUGAAUGGGCCCCUGGUAUAUAGUUUAACUAUAUACUUAUGUUCAAAACAGUCUUUGUAUUUAAUGAUUUUGUUUUUUGGAAAUUUUAUAGAUUUGGAUUCAAUCAUGUUAUUGUUUCCCACUUUGAAUAUUUAAGUGACUGGAACAUUAAUGUUAGUCUUAAGUUUGGGUUCACUUGCAAUAAUAACUCUCAACUGAAAGCAUAUGUAAGUUUUAAGCAUUGAAAUUUGAAGUAAUCUUGCACGGUUUACACUUUACAUUUAUGUUGUAUUCUAUGGUUUUCUGGUUUGGGAGGCUUAUCAAAGUUAACUGGGCAUAUUGCAAUUGUCAGGAAGAUGACACAUUAAGUAAAUCCAUAGAUUCAUCUUUUUUAGACUUGUGUUUUUUAUCUGCUUUUUUACUUCAUUUAGAGUUGUAUGGAUUUUUAAUUGUGAUGAUAUUUUAUCCAUUUUAUCUAGGACAAUUCACCAUUUUUGCUGGUUACUUUCAAACUAAUUCAUACUAUUUAUUUACAGAUGAUGAAAAAAAGAAGAAUUUAUUUUAAGCAUGUUCUUAAAAAAAAAAAAGAGUUAAUUAAAAUCGACAUUUUUCUUCUUCAAACUUUUAAUGAUAUUCUGGUAUUUUUCCACCGAAAAGUAAUUAUGCAUCUUAUUCCCCUACUUAACAUGUAAUUAUUUAAUUGCUGCGAUAUAUGUUUUUCUUAGUCUUUUUCAGAAUUGCUCUUUCAUCUACCAUAUAUUUCUUAUUCUGAAAAAUUCAUGAAUGGUUACAUGAUACCCUUAGUUACCACUCUAGCACUUGAUGUUGUUUUUAUUACAUUCAUUGGAGAUUCGAGGCUAAUGUGCUAUUUACAAAUCACAAACAUAUUUGAAACAAAACUGUGCAUAUAUGUAGCUCAUGUUUACUAAUAUCCAAACCAUUUGUCAUACCUACAUUAGAAAUCCACAUAUACUAUCCGUCUGAUGUUUUUAAUGUAUUCUUUUUGUUGCAUUUUUUUUAUUCUAGAUUCAUAUUCGAAGAAACUUGAAGCCAUUAAAGUAAGUUGUCUUUACAUAUUAGUUGCUUCUAAAAAAUAUCAUUCAUCAUGUAAGAGGUAUUGUUGCUGGUUUUUGUUUGAUUCUAUUGUUUGAAGUCAUUUGUAGGAAUUGUCCAUUUGAUGGCUCUCGAGUUCCUUUUUUUUUUUUUUUAGCAUCUUGAAAAUAAUAAAGCUUCUUGAUUUAUUAUUGAAAUUAAUAAAAAGCUAUAAUUUAUGGUUGGGGAAGGAAAUAAAAAGGAUAUAUGAUGUUUACAUAUUUUUGAUUUGUUUGUCUUGAUAUGCCUUAUUCAUUAGCUAUUGGAGUAAUUAUAAUAAUUCACUUUUCAUCGAUUAUACUUGUCGACUGAAUCAAUAGGGCAUUAAUUUUAAUGAAAUUGAUGCAGAAUAGCGUUGGUAUAAAGUUCUGAUUUCCUGUAUUUCAAUGUGUGUGUGUGUAUGCACUAUUUGCUGUUAUGUACUAGCAAUAAAACCUUAUAAGGAAGUAUAAUUUUAUAAAGUAAGUUUUGUUUUGUCCAUGUUUUCUUCUUAGCUUUUAAUUUUUAGAAUUAAUGAAUUAAUCUAAUUUUCUUAAUUUUUGUUAGUGAUUUUCGUUUAUCUCAUAUAAUUUCAAGGGUUCCAUAUGAAUUUAUUGAUUCCAUGAAUGUUAUAUUUAUUUUAAUUUUUUUGUUUCAGACUGGGAGAUAUCGUUUCCGAAGUAAAAAAUACUAAAAUUUUCGACGUCAAUUAAACUGUAUUAUCUUCAGGUAUUUUAUUUUAUCUUAUUUAUUUUAAAUAUUUCCUUCAAUUUUAUUAGGUUCAUAGCUUGUUUUGUAUUUUUUUCCCAUGAAGUUUCUUUUAUAGUAAUUAUCAUUUAACGAUUAUGUUAUAUAGUAGUCGACUGUAUUUCUUAAUCAUUGUAAUUGAUGAUUACAGCAGUGUACUCUAUUUUGGGUAAGUUCUCUCACUUGACCUAUUUAUAGGUUUUUGUUCAAGGGUUUAUAUUGUAAGUUUAUUUUGGUUAUUUAUCUAUAGUAACUUAUAAAUUUUGUAAUAGGUUGUUAGUUCUUGAGUUUCUUUUGUGCAUUCUAGAAGGCACAUUUUUCCUUCCUUCUAAAGUAUAUCUUCAACUAUUGUUCUGUAGAAUUCAAGAAAAUUGCAAGAGGAUAUAAUAACCACUUUGCAUUCACUUCGUUUGGCGUGAAAUAUGACAAAGAACUUUUUAAAAGAUACAGAUGUAUUUAUACAUUUAGGGUUCAGGGGCAAGUGUAUCAUUAUAUAAAUCAACUUAUACCAAAUAAUAAUACACCUUCUUAUAUGCAGUUAUAUUUUUAUGAUAUAGAUAAUGAACUUCAAAAUCGUAUGAAAAUUUCAGAGAACUUUUUUGAAUCUACUUUGACUAUAUUAAUGCAAAUUCUACAAGUAAAUCCUUAUAGUAAAUUUUUUAGGUCUUUAAGUAAUAUCACUAACUUGCAACAUCAUCGAACACAAAUAAGAUGCGAUCCAGGAGUUGAUCAAAUAGUUUUCAAUACUCUUACAACAUCUCAAGUAGCUGCUGUAUGGGUUGAAGAUGAUGAAAAUGCAAAUAUUCGUAUUUGUGAUAUUAUUAUAUAUGGUCAUUCUGGUGAAUUACACAAAGUUCACUAUUACUAUGGUUGUUAUGAUUCUUUGUGGUAUCCUAUAAUCUUUCCAUACGGGGAAUCUGGUUGGCAUGAAGGUAUUGAAAGAUAUAGAAGCCCAUUAUUUUCGCCUCAGCAAUUGCCUGAUUUUGUUGCUUUUCCUAACACAAUGAACUCUGCAACUGAACUUCUUGAAAAAGAGGAUGCAGGUUAGCGGAUACACAUUUUAGUGAAUUUAGUAUCUUUUGCAAUUUGAAUGCUUCAAGUGAAUACUUGAUUAUUUUACUACUAUGUGAUGUAGUGCUUAAUAAAAUGAGGAAACGAUUUAAGGUCUCUUGUCGAGAAUAUUAUUCAUACAAAUUACAAAUCAGGUCUUCUGGUACGUUCGUAUUACUUCAUACUGGUAGAUUGUUCCAACAAUAUGUUGUAGAUAUGUAUGUUAAGAUUGAGACAAUUAGAUUAGAUUGUUUUUGUAAUAACAAAAAAAAACCUGUGCUGAACUUUAUCAAGACAUUGUAGAUAGUGUUAAAAAUGGAGAGACAAGGGGGUAAAAAAUUGGAAGAAAGUUUGUUUUACCACAAUCUUUUACAGGUGGCCCUAAAGAUUUAUUAAAGAGAUAUAUGGAUGCGAUGGCUAUUGCACAACGAUAUGGAAAAUCGGAUAUUUCUUAACUGUAACUUGUAAUCCCAAUUGGCCAGAGAUUAGGCAAAAACUAAGAAACAAUGAUGAUAUUCAGAAUCGACUAUAUUUAAUUGCACGUAUCUUUAGAGCAAAAUUAGAAGAGUUGUUGCUCAUAUAUAUAUGAUUGAAUUCCAGAAAAGAUGUCUCCCUCAUAAACAUCUACCGUUAAUUUUUAACUGUGGUUACAAAAUUUGUUGUGCUGGGGAGGUUGAUAAGGUAGUAUCCUGCGAAAUUCCUGAUAAAGAGAAAUACCCUUAUCUUCAUUCUGUUAUUGUUAAAUACAAUAUGCAUGAUCCUUGUGGAAAUCUCAAUCCUAAGAAUGUAUGUAUGGAAGCAAAUAAAGGUUGUAAAAAUAAAUAUUUGAAGGAUUAUUAUAAUAGCACUGUAUUUGGUAAUGUAGUAUACCCAUUGUAUAUGCGAUGUAAUAAUGGUAUUUCUGUUAAAGUUAGAGGUCAAAUGUUAGACAAUUGUUGGGUUGUACCAUACAAUCCUUAUUUAAGUGCUAAAUUUGACUGUCAUAUUAAUGUCGGAGUAUGCUCUUCUAUUAAAAUCGUUAAAUAUCUCUAUAAGUAUGUUUAUAAAGGUCAUGAUCGUAUUAAUUUUUCUAUUGACACAAUUGAAACAAACAAAGAAAUUGAUGAAAUUUUAGCUUAUCAAUCUGUUAGAUGGAUAUCUCCACCUAAAGUUAUGUGGAGAAUUUUUUCUUUUGAUUUAUCUGAUAUUUAUUCAUCUGUUUAUUCUUUACAACUUCAUAUUGAGGAUCAUCAACAAGUAACAUACGCUGAUGAGGAUGAUUUGUUCACUAUUAUUCAGAAAGACAGUACGAGGAAAACUAUGCUAACUGAAUUUUUUUCGAAUGAAUGAAAUAGAUGAAUUUGCUUGUACAUUAUUGUAUCGAGAUUUUUCAAAACAUUUUGUUCGAAAUAAAAAUAGCAAAGUUUGGACUCCUAGGAAGAAACAUGUUGUUAUAGGACGAAUUGUCACAGCUAACCCUUUUGAAGGAGAUCUAUAUUUUCUUCGUAUUCUUCUUAAUCGUAUUAGAGGACUAAUAUCCUUCCAUCAUUUACGAACUCUGAAUGGCAUAACAGCUCCAACAUAUCGAGAUGCAGCACUUCUACAUGGUUUAUUGAGUGGAGAGAAUCACUGUGAAGAAUGUAUGUCUGAAAUUCUUUUGUAUAAAAUGCCUGUUGCGUUAAAACGUCUCUUUGCUACGCUUCUUACGCUUUGUAAUCCUAGUAAUCCAAUGCUAUUGUGGGAUAAAUUUAAGGUCUAUACGAUUGAUGACUAUGUACAUCAAAAUAUACCUACAAACAUUGCUGAAAUGCGAGCUUUAGAAGACAUUAGUUGUAUUUUGGAAUCAUUGGGUAAAAACAUAAAUGAUUAUGCAAUGGUAUCAUACAAUGUAAAUAUAGAUGAGACUGAAAGGUUGAGAAGAAUGGUUGAAGAGGAGACAACUAAUUUUGAUACUUAAGGAAGACUUGCUUGUGCAGUAACAUUAAAUAAAGAACAACAAUUUGCAUAUGGUACUAUCAUGGAAAAAGUGUGAUCGGAAUCAUAUGGUGCUUUCUUCAUUAAUGGUCUAGGUGAAACUGGCAAAACUUUUUUAUAUAAAGCACUUUUAGCAGGUGUACGGUCACAAAAUUUAAUUGCUUUGGCAACAUCAUCAUCUGGAGUAUCUACAUUUCUUUUACUUGGAGGUCGAACUGUUCAUUCAAGAUUAAGAUUCUUUUGGAAACAGUCAAUGAAAUAUGUUGUUUUGUUAGUAAGCAAUCAACUUUAGGAACUUUGUUGAAAAUGUCUAGGUUAAUUAUUUGGGAUGAAGUACCGAUAGUCAAUCAUUUCGCUGUAGAUAAAAUGUUAACAGAUAUUAUCGAUUGUAAUUUACUUUUCAAUGGAAAAGUUGUAGUUCUUGGAGGAGAUUUUCGUCAAAUUCUACCAGCUGUGCGAAAAGGGAAAAAGCAAGAUAUGAUGAAAGCUAACUUAGUUUUUUCGGACCUGUGGCCUUUAUAUAAGCAUCUACCAUUGAUCGAAAACAUGAGGGCUAAACUGGAUCCCACAUUUUGUGGUUACUUACUAAGAAUUGGAGAUGGAAUAGAGCGAGAACAUAACUGUAAAUGCAUCAAACUUUUAGAAAGUAUAGUUUUACCAUUUGAAGAUGAAAUUACAUCUUUAAAAAAAUUGAUACAUAAUGUUUUUCCGGAUAUAGAAGCAUGUUCUAAGGAUCUCCAUGUAAUGUCAAAUAGAGUUAUUCUUACACCUACUAAUGAAUUUGUUGAUCAUAUUAACAGAAUUCUACUUGAACAAAUGUCGGGUGAAAUUUACACAUACUAUAGUUUUGGUGAAGCAAUUGAUAAGUCGGAACAAAGCUUACAAGAGGAUUUUUUUAAUAGCCUAACUCCAAAUGGUAUUCCUCCUCAUGAAUUGAUGCUUAAGAUAAACUGCCCUGUAAUGUUAUUACGGAAUAUUAAUCCUUCAGAAGGGUUAUGCAAUUGAACAUGUCUUACUUGUUGAAAAUUUGAGAAGAACAUAAUUUUUGCUGAAAUUACAACUGGUGAAUAUUGUGGAAAAUAUGUUUUCUUGCCAAGAAUUCCUUUUUAUACUUCUAAAAAGUGAUCAUAAUUCAAUUCAAUUUAAAAAAACUCAAUUUCCACUUAGGUCAUGUUUUGCAAUGACAAUAAAUGAAGCACAUGGUCAAACACUAGAUUUUGUCGGUUUAUAUCUUCCACAACCAGUGUUUUGUCAUGAUCAACUAUAUGUAGCAUUAUCAAAGGCAAAAAAAGUAAAUCUAUCAAAGUUUUACUUAAACCAAUAAAUAGUGACCAUUUACAUGAUAGAUGUACCACAAAUGUAUAUAAGGAAAUUCUUUCAUUUAUACUCACGUAAGUUUACAACUCUUCAUAUUUUAUUUUUCCUUAGAAUUUCACAUAACCCACGUUGUACGAGAUGCAAUUUUAUCGUAUCGUGAGAAAUUAUCUACAAAAAAUAUUUGAUAUUAAAAAUUUACUCUUUUAUUCAUUUUCCUUCCAUUUAUUAUACUUUUGUACUCAUUGUUUUCAUUAUUAUUGUUUUUUUUAAACUAUUCUCUUUUCUUACGCAUAUGAUCUUGGUUAUACAUAUUUGAAAGACUUUCGGGCUUGAUAAUACCUGUUAUAUUCUCUCAUUAUUACAUUUUUAUAGGUAAAUUUCUUCUCGACUUAACUUUUUAAUUCUUAGAUGGGAAUCUACGUAAAUUCAAAUAUUUUAUUACUCUUGCUGGUAUUUCUUACUUUAUAUGCAGGAACUUUCUAUUGUAGUUUCUGGGUAUUUUUGUUAUAUGAUUAAAUAUGUCUAUGGAAAUCCGAAACUUGCAAGUAAUGUGAGAACACUCAAUCAUGUAAUGCAACGACACUCAUUCAUGUAGCAUAAUUGAUGUAAGUGUUGAGAAAUUGAAGGCAUCGUGAACAUAAUAAGAUAAAAAAAUUCAUUGCAUUCUAGCACUAAUCAUAUUUGAAUACUAUAUUUUGUUGUCAUAUGCAAAACUAAAUAUUUGUUUUAUAAAAGAUUGAACAUUCUCCCUUAUGCACAUCCUUCCAACAAUAAAUUCUAGAAAAUAGCUUGGGCCAAUCACCAAUUAUACAUAUUCUUCAAUAUUACAAGGGGGUUCCCCACAAUAAUUCAUCUUUCAUCAAAUUAAAGAAAGCCAUUUCCUUCGACGCUCUGAGAUAAAGAUCAAAUUCUUUUCUUACAAAAAAUUGUUAAAAAUGGGAUUCAUGUUUGCAAAAAUUUCUCUCUUCUGUUUCUAAUAUUUAGAAUGGAUUAAAUCAAUUAAUUAGAAUGAAACAACUGAUUGAUGGGUCCCGAUUUUUUAGACUAGGGUUAAUGGAUUAGUAAGAAAUGAGAGUUAGCACUCGAUUUCGUUGGUACCAUUCAAUCGAAUCAAAUUCAAUACUAAGGAAGUAAUAACCCUUAAAGAAGCUAGAGCUAGGCAAGCAAAUGGCUUACAUGUUGAGUUCUAUUUACAAGUUUUUUUGGGUCUACAAGAAGCCCAUGUCAGCGAGGAUACCACAAUUAGCAUCUUUUUCUUCCUUUUAUUUAUCUUCACAUUGUUCUCCUUAUUGAUAGAGUUAUCUUCUCCAACCUAUUCAAGCAAAAACCUUUAUGCUAUGUUUUUAGUUCUUUUGAUAUUAUUUUUAUGCAAUUGAUGGAUAAAUCUACUGCUAUUGCUUUUGCAUAGUUGAUUUACAUCAUUAAAAGAAGCCAAAAGUAACAAUAUGGCUAGGAAGAGGUUAGAUCUCUGUUUCUGGUCUCAGUUUCACUUUAGUUACUUUUUCUUUUUGUGUUGAUGUCUUAUUAUUUGAUUGUUGACAUACGAAUUUUGACGCUUUCAUCAUUUUACUCAAAAAAAAAAAAAAAAAACUCUAAUAGUGUCUGAAAUUAUUAGUAAACUGGUAGUGCUUAACCAUAUAUAUAUGCAUAUUAAAUUUGUUAAUGCAAUAGAGUUUUCACAAGCUAUUUUGUUUGGUGGGCUAUUUGUUUAAAGAUUCAUACUUUAUUAUUAAUUUUUUAUAAAGCUUAUUACAGUCUUGUAUAUGAAUGAUUUAUAAAGAUAUCAUUUAUUGGCACCUGGGCUGCAUGUCUACGUUUGAUACGAGUAGAAUCUGCUACUUUUAUUUGGAUCUUGUUAAUGUUGAUUUACGUUGUAGAAUUAGCAAUUUCUUUACUAUUUGGGUUAGCCUAUAAAAAUCCGCCUUUUGUUGCCUGAAUGAUUAAAGAAAGAAAUAUUGGAAUAGAAACGAAGUUAGCUUGUCAAUAGCAGCUAUUAAGGAAUUUUGAAUUCCAGAAAUAGCAACUGGGCAUUUUAGUUACUUAUGUAAUAGAAUUUUAUACCUUAAAAGGUUGUGUACAUGAUCAUGGAAACUGAAGUGACCCAAUGUUUUGUGAAUAACCAAUAAAUAAACAAAUUUGAAUUCAUUGCCUCUCACUUGCUGCAAUUAAUACACAUAAGUGCUUCAUUUGAUGUUUGUGACUGAUAGAUUUUGAAGAAUAUUGUGAUACCAGAGGCUCCCAUGUUUAAACCUGAGCUUCCUCUUUAAGGUUUAUUCUUCCACCAUUGGUUAUUUCAUAAUUUUUGUAUUUUUUUAUUAGAAAGUUCUUAUAAAAGUUAAAGUUUACAAAUCUUUUCAGCAACAUUUCCAAAAUUGUUCCUCGUACUUCUGCUUCUCACUUUCUGUACAUAUAUACAAUAUAUGAUAUCGCCAUUUAUUUACUUUGAUCAUUUUUCUACAUGUUGGAAUAAACCAAUUUGCAUUGGCAAACAUUCCAUUGGCUAUCCAUACGUUGCCACUAAUUCAAUCAUAAAAAGAUGUGGAAAACUUAAAAUGGUUUUUGGUCAUUUCACUUUGUUGUAGCUGUUGUAAGUAAAUCUGCCAUAAGCUAUAUAUUUCGAACAACCCAUUCUUUACAUAUUUCUCCUGUUCUUUCCCUGGUCAUUCCUAAUGCCAGAAAAUGGGGAAGGACCCUUGGAAUUGGAUGUCUAUGACUUUAAACGACCUUGUGUUACCCUUGCCAUGUAUAAUGUUGAUCAGGUUAGUCUUUACACAACUCACCUGCAUAUUGAAUCUUUUCUUAUGCCACUUUUACAGCCUUUUCCCUCAUCAUUUGGAUUUUUGUGAAAAUUUGUUGGCCUAUUCAAGCGUUUGCAAAAUCGUAGAGGCAAUGGCAUUUGUAAACAGUGGUCUCUCCUCUUGAGCAUAAAGAAUACAAUUCUUAAGAAGUAUGAUGGCGGGUAAUUUGUUUAUGAAAAGCUUGGUCAAGCGUUAUAAUAUUAAUAAAAUGAAAUAUAUCUGUAUAAUACCAUUUACAUCAAUAUUUUCACUAUCUCAGGUUCAACCGUUCAAGGAUAUAUUUAAGGAGUUACAUGAAUAGAAGUGGACGAAGCAACUUGAAGAACACUCACUAUGGUUGAUUUUUAUAUCUUUGAUGUAUAUAAUCUUAAUGUGCCCAUUCACAUUGUUUUCUAGACAUAUAUGCUUCCCCUAGGUAUGAGCAUCGGUUGUUCGAUGACAUGGUGGCAUACAUCGUGAAGAGUGAUGGUGGAUAUGUUUGGGCUUGUAAGAAUUAUGUCAAAUAUGUCCAACAUGAUUUACUUACACAAGACGAAUGCAUGUAUAAAUAAAGACAUAAAAAGUAGAUUAAUGUGGCUCUACUCUCUAAUAUGAUUUCCAAUAUCUAAACUAAUUAUGUAAGUCAAUAGU